rnacentral:piRNA from 1 species
UCCUACUGGCUUUUGAAUGAGAAGCUCCA